rnacentral:rRNA from 1 species
GACGAACGCUGGCGGCGCGCUUAACACAUGCAAGUCGAGCGAAGCGGCGGACGGGUGAGUAACACGUGAGUAACCUGCCUUAGACAUUGGGAUAGCCUCGGGAAACCGGGAUUAAUACAAAAUGGUCUAAGAUUGACUCGCGUCCCAUUAGCUAGUUGGUGGGUAACGGGCCACCAAGGCGACGGUGGGGAGCCGGCCUGAGAGGUUGAACGGCCACCUUGGAGCUGAGAAUCUGUCCAAACUCUACGGGAGGCAGCAGUGGGGAAUAUUGCCAAAUGGAGGUAACUCUGAUGCAGCGACGCCGCGUGAACGAAUAAGGCUUUCGAGUCGUAAAGUUCUUUUAUAUGGGAAGCGGUACCAUAAGAAAAAGCCCCGGCUAACUACGUGCCAGCAGCCGCGGUAAUUC